rnacentral:rRNA from 1 species
UACAGAGGUCUCAAGCGUUGUUCGGAUUUACUGGGCGUAAAGCGCGUGUAGGCGGCUUUGCAAGUCGGAUGUGAAAGCUCACGGCUCAACCGUGGAAGUGCAUCCGAAACUGCAUGGCUGGAGUCUCGGAGAGGAAGGUGGAAUGCUUGGUGUAGAGGUGAAAUUCGUAGAUAUCAAUCAGAACACCUGCGGCGAAGGCGGCCUUCUGGACGAUGACUGACGCUGAGACGCGAAAGCGUGGGGAGCAAACAGG